GGAUAUAGUUCAGUUGGCAGAGUGCUUGCCUUGCAAGCAUAGGUCCUGGGUUCGAUUCCCUGCACCA
rnacentral:tRNA from 1 species